AUAAGAUUUUUAAAGUCAUAAAUUUUUCACAGGAAAAUGGUGUAUCAAAAAUUUCAUCCGUGGAAGUUAUUAAUUUGAAUGACUUUUUUAUUACACCAAUAAAAUCAUCAAACUUUAAUAUAAGAUAUUGCUCUGCUUUACAAUUUUCAAGUUGCGUCUAUCAGCAUUUAGCGGAAGAAAUAUCACAAAAAAUGAUCUUGCUUAGUAAUUUUGAAUGUAGUCAAUAUGUAUUUAUUCCUCUUAUUCACAAUUAGAUGGAUUUCAAUAGCUCGUUUAUAUCGAUUGGAUGUGAGCAAACCACUAAAUCAAGUAAGUAGUUAAUACAAUAUCGUUUUUUGAAGUGGUUCUAACAUUUUAAUUAAGUCGUAGAUUUUGACGACUUAAGUAGCAAACUGGAUAGUCUGGAUAAGAAGGUAGAAGAUUUGUUAAAAGAACAUCAUACAACUCAAAAGCUUCUGAAGAGAGUAUUGGAAGAAGCUAAAUCGACCUCACAUAAUGCUACAAAAAAAAAGAAAUAAAAUUUUGCCACAAAAACCUUUUGCAGAAGCGCAUGAUUUCGCUACUUUUGAAGACAAAAUUCAAUCUUCCGAAACAAAAUUUAACGAUUUGGUGGCUGAAUUGCAAAUGAUAAUAGCAUCAAAUUCGGACAAAUUUGUUAAAAUGGCUUGGCGAAAAGUUUUUACGGACGAUGUUGCCCAGAUAUACUCCUGGAAAGGAACAAAGACGAAAAAACCGGCAAGAGCACUUAGUGUGACGACAGCAUUAAGACAGGCAUACCAUCAAAAAUUCCCUACCGCUGCCACGGAUAUGGAAUUCGAGCGGACUACACUGAAUUUUUUCCAACACGCCAGCAACAGAUUAAAAAAAAGAAUUGAAUACGAAAACAAAAAGAAUAUGUCAUCGGUAAUCGUAGAUUAAUUAGUUAUUAUAUUAUUGUGCGACAAUUUUAAAUUUAAAUUUGUAAGUUGUAAUUGGAUUAUUCCUAAGUUUUGCACUGAAAUUAACUUUUUCGUUUGUUUCCUUAUCUUAAGAAUGUACUACAUUAUUUUCGUUAAUUUAAAUUAAAAAAUGAAUUUUUGUUACGUUACCAUGUUAUUUAUUGUUUAAUAAAAUUUAUGUAUAUAUGUAUAUGUACUGCGUACAAUAUACCUCUAUUAAUUUUUAUAUAAAUAAAAAUUAAUUUCAAAACUUUAUUUCAACCAGUUCUUAUUUUUAAAUCAGUGGCAACUUCAAUUAAUGUAAUUGGAAUUCGUUCCAUUCCCCUCGUUUCAUAUUUGAGAAAAUGUUUGAGAUUUUGACAUUUUCAAAUUGAGAACAAAGGAAAAUUUCAUAUUAAAAAUGUGCCUUUUUGUUUGAGAAUGGCUUUGUUUUCAAAUUGAAAUGACUUGGAGAAAAAACGUUUGAGAUUUGAAAUUAAGGUUGAUUCUCAAACGCAUCUCAAUUUGAGAAUCAAAAAAAAUGUUCAUUGGG